AAAAAUAAUCUAAAGGAGAAAAGCAAGGCGUCUCGUGCGUGACCGCGCGUAAUCACAGAAGCGCGAGGACGCGCGGAGACGCACCACACGGAUGAGUUCACGGAGUUUACCGUGGGAUUCGGCUUUCUCUUUGUCCCACAGCACAAGAACCCUUCGUCAGGACGUCCUGAAGUCUCCUGGAACUGGUUUCGAGACUGUGGACGGAUCUCAAACACUCAAAUGAUCUCCUGGUGUGUGUUUAAGGUCACGUCCCAUGCCAGAUCUGGAUGAAGAGUGGCCCGAACAGAAGGACACGGCUUCACAAGGCUGUCAGAGACGCACGCGUCAGCUGUGAGAAACAGCACAUGGAGAGAUUUUGUGGGCUUGAUGAACAUCUUCACCGGCAUUUCCUGUUGCAACACACACACUGUGUGUGUGAAUCUGGCGAGGAUUACUUCGUGCUUUCUAGCCUCGUGCUGAGUACUUACCCUUGCUAACGGCAGGCCAGCCCCACGAUAUCAAAGAAUACAGGUUUGACUCCAAUGUGCAGCUAAAUAUUUGUGCUUGCUAGCAUAUUAUUCCAUUUUUAAUAAUCAGUUAAAGUCUGAGGCAUCCGAUGAAGGAUCCAUUGGAGAAACGAAUUACUAAAAAAAACUAACUAAACUAACAAAUAUAGCUUCCUUUUUUUUUUUUUUUUUAAGUUGCAUUGCAUUAAAUUAAAAUGAAUACAAAUGCAUUUAUUUUUAAAAAUCUGUUCAUUUAAAGGCGACAAUGGCAUUAUUUUAGUGUUGUAUUUUAAUACAAUUGUUAUGCAUUUUAAAGUUGGUUUUAAU